UUCAAGAAUCAAGGGCUUAUGAGGGAUACCUAGGCAUUCAGAAGCGAUGAAGGACGUGGCUACCUACGAUAAGCUUCGGGUAGCUGGAAGCAAGCUGUGAUCCGAAGAACUCCGAAUGAGGAAACUCUUAAAACUCCUUGUUGAAUAUAUAGACAAGAAAGAGCAAACCUGGGGAAUUGAAACAUCUUAGUACCCGGAGGAAAAGAAAGUAAACUACGAUUACCUUAGUAGCGGCGAGCGAAAUGGUAAGGACGCCUAAACUAAUUUUAUUAGGGUUGUUGGGACAGCGAAUAAAAAAAACGUUAGGAGAAGUAUUUGGAAUAAUACACCAUAGAAAGUGAAAGUCUUGUACCUUAAAACAAUAUAAACUUACUGUAUCCCGAGUAGCAUGGAGCACGUGUAAUUCCGUGUGAAUCAGCGAGGACCACCUCGCAAGGCUGAAUAUUCCUGAAUGACCGAUAGUGAACCAGUACCGUGAGGGAAAGGUGAAAAGAACCCCGGGAGGGGAGUGAAAUAGAACAUGAAAUCGUAAGUUUACAAGCAGUAGAAGAGCGACUUAACGCUCGACUUCGUGCCUGUUGAAGAAUGAGCUGGCGACUUGUAGGUUGUGGCAAGAUUAAGAUAAGAAAAUAUCGAAGUCAUAGUGAAAGCGAGCCUGAAUAGGGCUUUAAGUCACAAUUUACAGACCCGAACCCGGAUGAUCUAACCAUGGCCAGUGUGAAGCUUAGGUAACACUAAGUGGAGGUACCAACCGACUGUUGUUGAAAAAACAGCGGAUGAGUUGUGGUUAGGGGUGAAAUUCCAAUCGAAUCCGGAGCUAGCUGGAUCUCCCCGAAAUGCGUUGAGGCGCAGCGGUUAAUGUUUUUUCUUAGGGGUAAAGCUACUGUUUUGGUGCGGGCUGCGAGAGUGGUACCAAAUCAAGGCAAACUCUGAAUACUAAGACAUUUAGUUAACCAGUGAGACGUUGGGGGAUAAGCUUCAAUGUCAAGAGGGAAACAGCCCAGAUUACUAGUUAAGGCCCCUAAAUAAUUGCUAAGUGGUAAAGGAGGUGGGAGUGCAUAGACAAUCAGGAGGUUUGCUUAGAAGCAGCAAUCCUUUAAAGAGUGCGUAAUAGCUCACUGUUCGAGUGAUCCUGCGCCGAAAAUGACUGGGACUAAGCAAUUUGCCGAAACUGUAAGAUGUUUAAACAUCGGUAGGGGAGCGUUCUACAUUAGUGAGAAGAAUUAACGAAAGUGGGUUUGGACAAAGUAGAAGUGAGAAUGUCAGCUUGAGUAGCGAAAACAUUGGUGAGAAUCCAAUGCCCCGAAAACCUAAGGGUUCCUCCGGAAGGCUCGUCCGCGGAGGGUGAGUCAGGUCCUAAGGUGAGGCUGAAAAGCGUAAUCGAUGGAUAACAGGUUAAUAUUCCUGUACUGUUUAUUGUUGGUAAAGGGGGACGGAGAAGGCUAGGUCGACCGAAUGUUGGUUAUCGGCUUAAGUAUUCGAGGUGUUGAGAAGCGGUGAAAACGUUUUGAGCUGAGAUAUGAAUAGGAGGUGCUAAGGCACUGAACCGACUGAUGUCAUACUUCCAAGAAAAGCCCUAACUACCAUAAGCAAUAAAUACCUGUACCCUAAACCGACACAGGUGGGUAAGUAGAGUAUACUAAGGGGCGCGAGAUAACUCUCUCUAAGGAACUCGGCAAAAUAGCCUCGUAACUUCGGGAGAAGAGGUACCCUUUAUGGGUUGCAAGAACCAGACGCUGGCGACUGUUUACCAAAAACACAGGUCUCCGCAAAGUCGUAAGACGAUAUAUGGGGGCUGACACCUGCCCAGUGCCGGAAGGUUAAGGGAGCUUGUUAGUCUUUGACGAAGCUCGUGACCGAAGCCCCGGUGAACGGCGGCCGUAACUAUAACGGUCCUAAGGUAGCGAAAUUCCUUGUCGGGUAAGUUCCGACCCGCACGAAAGGUGUAACGAUCUGCCCAACUUUUGGAUUUGGCAUGAGACCACGAGGUCCUAAAACUUGACCUAGUCUUCCUACAACUCCCAUUGCAUCAGGUGAUGCAAUAACUACAUCAUAGUUCAGGUCACCAUCCUGCAUAGAUUUCAUUAAAUCAUCCAUACCUACAACAUCAGCACCGGCAUCAGUAGCUUUCUGAGCAUUAUCGCCUUGAGUAAAAACUGCAACGCGAACUACUUUUCCAGUUCCAUUCGGAAGAACAACAGCACCACGAACAUUUUGAUCUGACUUCUUGGUGUCAAUACCUAGAUUAAUACUAACGUCAACUGACUCAUCAAAUUUUGCAGUUGCACAUUCCUUAACCAAAGCUAAAGCAUCCGAAAUUUUGUAUUUUGAACCUACUUUAAUUUUUGAUAAAUUUUCUUUUUGAUUUUUUGACAAGCUAGCCAUCAUCAACCCUCCACCACAAGGCCCAUUGAACGGGCAGUUCCAGCUACGAUCUGAACAGCAGCAUCUAGAUCAUUUGCAUUUAAAUCUUUCAUUUUGAUAUUAGCAACUUCCUCUAAUUGAGCACGAGUUACC
rnacentral:rRNA from 1 species